AGUCUGGUGCCAGCAGCCGCGGUAAUUCCAGCUCUAAUAGCGUAUAUUAAAGUUGUUGCAGUUAAAAAGCUCGUAGUUGGAUUUCGGCGUGCGCUCAGGCUGGUCGGCCGUCAAGGUCUGUACCGUUUGGGUCACGCCCCACUGUAGGAUACUCACCGCUGUCCUUAACUGGGUGGCGGUCAAAGGGGGUGUGCAUGGGGGCAACUCUGUGCAUAUCUCUGGGGUUCCUACUCUUUUACUUUGAGCAAAUUAGAGUGUUCAAAGCAGGCAAUCGAGCCUUGAAUACUUCAGCAUGGGAUAAUGGAACAGGACUGGGGUCCUGAUUUCGUUGGUUUCUGGGAUCUCAGUAAUGAUUAAUAGGGAUAGUUGGGGGCAUUAGUAUUUAAUUGUCAGAGGUGAAAUUCUUGGAUUUAUGAAAGACUAACUUCUGCGAAAGCAUUUGCCAAGGAUGUUUUCAUUAAUCAAGAACGAAAGUUAGGGGAUCGAAGACGAUCAGAUACCGUCGUAGUCUUAACCAUAAACGAUGCCGACCAGCCAUUGGGAGACGUUACAUGGAUGACUCCCCCAGCAGCUUGCGAGAAAUCACAAGUCUUUGGGUUCCGGGGGGAGUAUGGUCGCAAGGCUGAAACUUAAAGGAAUUGACGGAAGGGCACCACCAGGAGUGGAGCCUGCGGCUUAAUUUGACGCAACACGGGGAAACUUACCAGGUCCAGACAUAGUAAGGAUUGACAGAUUUGAGAGCUCUUUCUUGACCGUAUGGGUGGUGGUGCAUGGCCGUUCUUAGUUGGUGGAGUGAUUUGUCUGGUUAAUUCCGUUAACGAACGAGACCUUAACCUACUAAAUAUGUCACUGGUAGACUUCUGCCAAAACAGGUGGGUGUCUAGGGGAAAGUUUCGAUGGACUCCGACGCAUUCAUCUGUGGAUGACUACCAGGAUGUACUUCUUAGAGGGACUAUCUGUAUCAAAGCAGAUGGAAGUUUGAGGCAAUAACAGGUCUGUGAUGCCCUUAGAUGUUCUGGGCCGCACGCGCGCUACACUGACAAGUUCAACGAGUUUAACACCUUGCUCGAUAGGGCUGGGUAAUCUUUGAAAAACUUGUCGUGAUGGGGAUAGAUCAUUGUAAUUAUUGGUCUUCAACGAGGAAUUCCUAGUAAGCGUGAGUCAUCAGCUCGCGUUGAUUACGUCCCUGCCCUUUGUACACACCGCCCGUCGCUCCUACCGAUUGAAUGAUCCGGUGAAAUGUUGGGAGCUGGGGUCUUUUGGCGGCGGGGCAACUCGUCGUCAGGGAUUCUGCAAACUUCAUUAAACCUUAUCAUUUAGA
rnacentral:rRNA from 1 species